UCUAUUUUGGCAGACAAGUGCGGUGAAUUUAGAAUUCAUAUAUGUGAGAUUGAUUCUUGCAGAUAGAA
rnacentral:tRNA from 1 species